rnacentral:rRNA from 1 species
UACGGAGGGUGCAAGCGUUAUCCGGAUUCACUGGGUUUAAAGGGUGCGUAGGAGGGCAGGUAAGUCAGUGGUGAAAUCUCCAAGCUUAACUUGGAAACUGCCGUUGAUACUAUCUGUCUUGAAUACCGUGGAGGUGAGCGGAAUAUGUCAUGUAGCGGUGAAAUGCGUAGAUAUCUGGAGGAAUACCGGUGGCGAAGGCGGCAUCCUGGACCGACAUUGACGCUGAGGAGCGAAAGCUAGGGGAGCAAACGGG